AACGCACCUUGCGCCCUUUGGCCAUUCCGAAGGGCAUGCCUGUUUGAGUAUCGUGAACACCUCAACUCUCAUGGCUUGCCACGAUGAGCUUGGACUUUGGGGGUCUUGUCGGCGUGCCGUCGGCUCCUCUCAAAUGGAUCAGCUUGCCAGUGUUUGGUGGCGUCACAGGUGUGAUAACUAUCUACGCUUGUGGUUUCCUACCAGAUAACCUCCAGCGAUGGAGGUUCGCUGGGGCUCAUAAAUGUCUCUCCUCAGUGAGGACAGCCCUUUGAACGUUUGAUCUCAAAUCAGGUAGGACUACCCGCUGAACUUAA
rnacentral:misc_RNA from 1 species